UCAGCCAAUUCUUUAUCCCAAACACACUAAUUCCUAGACUUUCUCAGAAACCAAACACAGGUUCAAGAUUUGAAUUUUUGUGGAAAUUAGUUCCAAAUAAUUACAAGCUUCAAACGUAUAAGGGAUCUUCUCAAAUCUGUCAACAAACACAUAGGAAAAUAAGGCUACAAGAAGCAUUUUGGAGAUUAUACAACACAGGAGUUUAGAGAGAACUGCAAUGUUUUAGACCAAUCUUCUGUUCUGCAAAAACUCAAGCUUGCUCGCGAGUACACUUUCUUACUCAACAGCGUGCAGCAUCACGAGGGGUUGCUGUUCUCUUACAACCUUGCUGUGGAUAGAUCGGAUGAAAUGAAAAGAAUACUAGGAAAAUCUGCUGCAAGUGUAGGUAUUCAGCUUCCUGAGGCUUAUCAGGCCUGAUGUUGUUCCCAGAUGUACGCGAGUCACCUAACUUUCGCCUUGUCUGAUGCUUGCGAAAUCAUCAAUGGCUACGUCUCCUGUUCGAGGAUUAGGUGUGUGUGUGAGAGAGACUAAGCAACCCAUCUUCACUGUCUUUUUCGUGCGCGGCCGUUUGGGAUAAUUUUUUAAUGAAAUUGUCACUGGAUAUUUUAAUUUGGAGGCCAGUUGGCCAAGUAUGUUGUCAGAUUUUGCAAAGCAGCCAAUACAGAUGUGCAAUAACUUGUUACUUAUAUGAAGACCGACUCUGAAUUAAGAUUCAUGAGCUAAAUGCAUGAUAAUCAAACAUGUUCUAUGAAUCACUCGUAUGAAUAUAAAUGGCUAGCUAGAAACGUUCAUUAUGUAAACCAGUCAAGUCAUUAGCUGAUUUAUUGAAAUAACAUCCAUGUUGUGGUAAUAAGCAAAAAAAAAAAACUGUUUGCGUAUAUCCGAGUACAGUAAAGAAAGCCUGCUUUUCAAAAGAUGACGAAUGCGAAGGUCGCAAAUCCUGUCUGUUACCGAAAGAGUGGUGCCCCAUAAGCGUUUCUCCUCUCUUCCCUGAAAAUGUUUAAGAUGCGGCGAAUUAAUGAGUUGCUGUACCCUCUUUCAGUGUUGAACACGUCAAAGUCGACUGGUCAUGUGGCAACAUAGACGGUUCAUGAUUAAGAUUGAUUUUAUGCCAGUACUUUAUUAUUAGUUCCCUUCGAGAUUUUGCCAGAAUGACAUCGAAAAUAGUUCUUUUGAUGUUCGAAGCCAAACUAAACAACAGCCUUUGAGAUUCAUAGGGAAGAAGAUCAUGCAGCUAAUUGAGUUAUAGUACUCAGACCUGGAUAUGCUAUCUUGGUCGAAUUCAUGAGCAAAGAGCUGAGCUGCCACCAUAUUAGGCACAAUUUCAGUAUAGUAUCCUGCUCUUUUCACGUGUUGGCAGUAGCAUCAAAUUGAUACUAUCAAUAGAAUCCAGGCCUUGUGUGGACCAGAUCCGAGAUCCAGUUUCUUAGUACAAGUCAAAAGAAAUACUACAAGUUAGCUAAGACCAGACACCUGUGCAAACUUUCACAUACGUGGCACCCUAGAUCUCUCCGCACGCGACACCAUUUUUUUUCUUGUUUUGUCUUGUUUCUCCUGCUUCUUCUUUAUUAAAUGGAAGUUAUCAGUAGCUAGAAUUAGGUGCCAGUCAGGAUAUUCAACACCACCACCAUCACCAGCAACAGCAGUAUGGGUUCAGCGACAUUCCUAGAAGUGAUACUGGCCAUUAUCCUACCACCUGUUGGGGUCUUCCUGCGUUAUGGCUGUGGAGUGGAGUUCUGGAUAUGUUUGCUGUUGACCAUAUUGGGAUACCUUCCAGGGAUAAUAUAUGCCAUUUAUGUAUUAGUUGGAUAGUGUGUAGAUCUCUCUUGAUGAGGUUUGAUAUUUGAAUGUUCACAGACAAUUCAGUUAGCCAGUCUUAUUUUUCUUAUUAUUAUUGAUCAGUUGUUUUCUCUUUUCGUAAGAUGAUCAGUGUAUAUCCCAGUAUGGUUUAGAUCAUGGUGGACUUCCUUGUUCUUAAUUUAUGACAGCUUACAUCAUGUCAGAUUUCUUGAAGUGGUAA